UACGUAGGAGGCAAGCGUUAUCCGGAAUGACUGGGCGUAAAGGGUGCGUAGGUGGUCUGGCAAGUUGGCAGCGUAAUCCCGGGGCUCAGCUCCGGUGCUACUGCCAAAACUGUCGGACUUGAGUGCAGGAGGGGUGAAUGGAAUUCCUAGUGUAGCGGUGGAAUGCGUAGAUAUUAGGAAGAACACCAGCGGCGAAGGCGAUUCACUGGACUGUAACUGACACUGAGGCACGAAAGCGUGGGGAGCAAACAGG
rnacentral:rRNA from 1 species